rnacentral:rRNA from 1 species
UACGUAGGGUGCAAGCGUUAAUCGGAAUUACUGGGCGUAAAGCGUGCGCAGGCGGUUAUGUAAGACAGUUGUGAAAUCCCCGGGCUCAACCUGGGAAUUGCAUCUGUGACUGCAUAGCUAGAGUACGGUAGAGGGGGGAUGGAAUUCCGCGUGUAGCAGUGAAAUGCGUAGAUAUGCGGAGGAACACCGAUGGCGAAGGCAGCCCCCCUGGGCCAAUACUGACGCUCAUGCACGAAAGCGUGGGGAGCAAACAGG